GGGCCCGCACAAGCGGUGGAGCAUGUGGUUUAAUUCGAAGCAACGCGCAGAACCUUACCAGCCCUUGACAUCCUAGGACCACCUCAGAGAUGAGGCUUUCCCUUCGGGGACCUAGUGACAGGUGCUGCAUGGCUGUCGUCAGCUCGUGCUGUGAGGUGUUCGGUUAAGUCCGGCAACGAGCGCAACCCCUGUCGCUAGUUACCAGCAUUUAGUUGGGGACUCUAGCGAGACUGCCGGUGAUAAACCGGAGGAAGGUGGGGACGACGUCAAGUCCUCAUGGCCCUUAUGGGCUGGGCUACACACGUGCUACAAUGGCAGUGACAGAGGGACGCUACCAGGUGACUGGAUGCAAA
rnacentral:rRNA from 1 species